GGGCGCUUAGCUCAGUUGGCUAGAGCACCGCUUUUACACGGCGGGGGUCACUGGUUCGAGUCCAGUAGCGCCCA
rnacentral:tRNA from 1 species